rnacentral:rRNA from 1 species
GAUGAACGCUGGCGGCGUGCCUAAUACAUGCAAGUCGAGCGAACGGACGAGACUCUUGCUUCUCUGAUGUUACCGGCGGACGGGUGAGUCACAGGUGGAUACCUUACCUAUAAGACUGGCAUAACUUCAGGAAACCUGAUCUAAUACCGGUCACUAUUUUGAACCGCAUGGUUCAUAGGUGCACAACGGUCUUGCUGUCCCUUAUACAGGGAUCCACGCUGCAUUAGCUAGUUGGUACGGUAACGGCUUACCAAGGCUACGAUGCGUAGCUGACCUGAGAGGAUGAUCGGCCACACUGGAACUGAGACACGGUCCAGACUCCUACGGGAGGCAGCAGUAGGGAAUAUUCGGCAAUGGGCGAAAGCCUGACGGAGCAACGCCGCGUGAGUGAUGAAGGUCUUCGGAUCGUAAAACUCUGUUAGUUGGGAGGAACAGAAGUGUAAGAAACUGUGGACAUCUUGACGUUACCAAAUCAGAAAGCCACGGCUAACUACGUG